rnacentral:rRNA from 1 species
GAUGAACGCUAGCGGCAGGCCUAAUACAUGCAAGUCGAACGGAUAUAUGUUUUUCGGAAUAUAUAUUAGUGGCGCACGGGUGAGUAACACGUACAUAACUUGCCCUCAAGCGGGGGAUAGCCUUGGGAAACUGAGAGUAAUACCCCAUAGAAUUAUUGGACGGCAUCGUUUGAUAAUUAAAACUACGGUGUUUGGGGAUAGAUGUGCGUCUGAUUAGCUAGUUGGUGAGGUAACUGCUCACCAAGGCGACGAUCAGUAGGGGGCGUGAGAGCGUGGCCCCCCACACGGGUACUGAGACACGGACCCGACUCCUACGGGAGGCAGCAGUAAGGAAUAUUGGUCAAUGGAGGGAACUCUGAACCAGCCAUGCCGCGUGAAGGAUGACGGCCCUCUGGGUUGUAAACUUCUUUUGGAUGGGGACGAAAAAACGGGUUUAUCCUGGACUGACGGUACCAUCAGAAUAAGCACCGGCUAACUCCGUGCCAGCAGCCGCGGUAAUCGUAGCGUG